rnacentral:lncRNA from 1 species
GUGGAUUUCCAGUGUGUUCGAAGCAAAUCCCUCACUAAUCUGGUAGCUGCUGGAGAAGACGUCUUAGAGGACCAGGAGAUACUAAUGUACCACCCACCCCAAGUGGAUGAACUUGACCGGCUAAAUGCCCCACUUUCUCAGAUGGCCUCUAAUGACUUUCAGGAUUAGGGCCAGUUGUGGGUUCACCCCUCUUCAGAGGUUUUCUGUCUGGGAGGCCCCCAGCCAGUGCUCCCCGUGGUUUGUCUCACCCUGAGUAGGAGACAUGCUUCUCCCUCAUCCUUUCUCUUUCUCCAUAAUCAACGUGUGUCCUUUUCAGUCAGUCUGUGCCUCUGGCAGGGGAUGAAAGCACUCACUGGUAAUUAAGCUACCAGCUUUACAGCAGCCUUGGUAACUUGAAAAAUUUGGGUCUGGUGCUGUUCACUGAGUCUUUGCAUUACUGCAAAAGCAGGAAAAGAAGUCAGGACUCCUCUUGCCUCAUGCUCAGCAAAGCAAUCCUCAUCCUUGACACUUUGUUCCUGGCUUUGUUUUGUUUUGUUUUGUUUUGUACCAGGCAAAUUACUGAGCAAAGGGACCAAACUUAAAAGACAAUCUCUGUCUUCUGCAAACAGGCACUAAUGGGAUGCUCAUUAGAGGUUAAUGAAGAUGCCAUUCCUGGUGGCCCGUGUGCCCAGAUUGCACCUGGGAAGAACUGGGCCCUCAUUCAAAAUGUGCAAAAGGAACUUUGCUGUCAAGAACUGGGUCUUUUUUCCUUCCAAAUUGGGUCAACAUGCUUUUGGCCCCAAACCUUGGAGUUUGAGUGAGCUGGGAAUCUGUGGAGGUAAAUGUGCCAGUGUCACCAGGUGGUGUGUCUGAGGGAGAAGCUGGCCCACAGGUUCCUUCCGGUGGAGAGGGAGGUUUCUUCUGCACCCCAUGCCCUCCCAGCCUGCACUCAGCAUCACUGUGAUUAGGUGGUUCCCUUCAGCCACAGCUGCUCUGUCCCCAGGGCCAGGACAUUCCGCAAUGGCAGGACCUCAGUCCUCGCAGGGACAAGGGCUGGAUUGUGCCCAUUCCCUUCAGAGUCAGUUACUGGCCAGAUGGGCAAGAGGUGUUUCUAAUAAAAAAGCUGGAACUCAAAAAAAA